rnacentral:rRNA from 1 species
GGAUGAACGCUGGCGGCGUGCCUACUACAUGCAAGUCGAGCGAACAGACGAGGAGCUUGCUCCUCUGAUGUUAGCGGCGGACGGGUGAGUAACACGUGGAUAACCUACCUAUAAGACUGGGAUAACUUCGGGAAACCGGAGCUAAUACCGGAUAACAUGUUGAACCGCAUGGUUCAACAGUGAAAGACGGUCUUGCUGUCACUUAUAGAUGGAUCCGCGCCGCAUUAGCUAGUUGGUAAGGUAACGGCUUACCAAGGCAACGAUGCGUAGCCGACCUGAGAGGGUGAUCGGCCACACUGGAACUGAGACACGGUCCAGACUCCUACGGGAGGCAGCAGUAGGGAAUCUUCCGCAAUGGGCGAAAGCCUGACGGAGCAACGCCGCGUGAGUGAAGAAGGUCUUCGGAUCGUAAAACUCUGUUAUUAGGGAAGAACAAAUGUGUAAGUAACUAUGCACGUCUUGACGGUACCUAAUCAGAAAGCCACGGCUAACUACGUG